GACGAACGCUGGCGGCGUGCCUAAUACAUGCAAGUCGAACGCAGUUGCGAACGGGUUAGUAACGCGUCGGUAACUGCCUAUUAGAGGGGGAUAACUAUUGGAAACGAUAGCUAAUACCGCAUACUAGUAGAUGGACCUGCGUUGUAUUAGCUAGUAGGUAGGGUAAUGGCCUACCUAGGCGACGAUACAUAGCCGAAAGGAGAGGGUGAGCGGCCGGACUGGGACGGCGACCGGGCACAGAGGCCUACGGGUGGCAGCAGUAGGGAAUCUGGGGGAAGGGGGGGAACACUGACCGAGCAACGCGGCGUGAGUGAGGAAGGUUGUCGGAUGGUAAAGCUCUGUUGUUAAGGAAGCGGUAGUUAAACAGAAAGGGACGGCUAACUACGUGCCAGCAGCCGCGGUAAUAC
rnacentral:rRNA from 1 species